rnacentral:lncRNA from 1 species
CGAAGAGUAAAUAGUGUAUAUUGUAUUUGUGCACAAAGUAUGUAACACACAGAAGGCAACGUUUCCGACCCCAUAUUCUUGAUCAGCAUCAAUCUCCGAGUCGAUUGAGCCAUGUAUGUCUGUCCGUCCGUCUGUCCGUCCUAAUGCGCGCCUGGUACUCAGAGACUAUAAAAGCUAGAGCCACCAAAUUUUGCAACCAGACUUCUGUAUGCUCACACUGUUACAAGUGUAUUUAAAAAAUGAGCCACGAC